CCUAAGUGAUCAAGAAAUGUGCUUGAAAGAUCGAGCCAUUAGUACUGUGUGUGCAAGACCCAGGACUCAGCUGCUGCAUUUGUAACCUGAGAAAGCAAGUCCCUGCCUUUUUUAUGAGCUCAGCAAAACCAGCAGACCCCACCAUGGAAAGGGAAAACAAAGAAAUGAGGACAUUUGAUCAGUUGCCCACAGUGCCUCUGAGAGCACGAGCCCAGAGCUCUGUUUCUGCAGGAAUGUACCAAACGCACCGCGAGUGAGCUGGUAAUCGCUUGAAGUCUGGGCAAACUGGUUCUCCUGGCACAAGAGAUGGCAGUAAUUGUUCCUCCCCAGCCUGAUGUGGGAGAAGGCUGAGUUUUGCUCUGGACUUGUCUGCACACUCCUGGCCUUCGCCCCUCACCCGGGACAGGCCUGGUCAGGUCUGCCAGGCCCCGGGAGCUUUGCUUGCUGGCCCAGGGCCUCACCCAGUGCAUGCUGCUCUGCCCUGGGCCCUGCUUUCCUGAGGCCCAGCAGCCAGGGGUCUGUGGUACUACCAGCUGAAUUCCAAGUAAACUUUCCCAGAAUCACAGAAUCUCUUGGAAACAGAACCCCUUGGCAAUGUAAACCAUCCUCAAAACUGAGGAAUUACAGAAAAAUAGAACCUCAAGUUUGGAAAAGAUUCUUCAGCAUUGAUGCAGACAGGUUUGUGUUGAGAUGA
rnacentral:lncRNA from 1 species